rnacentral:misc_RNA from 1 species
GAUUAAUCUGGCUAUGAGUCCUGAUGUGGCUAUUCAAGAAGUGAUUUAUAAGGCUAAAACUGAACUUAAUCAAUUAGCCCUCAAAUCAGCAACAUCUCCAGUCUCGCCAUCCAUGAAUUCACCACCUGUUUCAGAUCUUCCUUCACAGUUUACUCCUUUCUCCCCUGUUUCAUCUCGGUCUUUUUUGUCCCCAGCAACAUCCUUCCGAG